rnacentral:rRNA from 1 species
UGAGGAAUAUUGGUCAAUGGUCGCAAGACUGAACCAGCCAUGCCGCGUGCAGGAAGACGGUCCUAUGGAUUGUAAACUGCUUUUAUACAGGAAGAAACCCUCCCACGUGUGGGAGCUUGACGGUACUGUAGGAAUAAGGAUCGGCUAACUCCGUGCCAGCAGCCGCGGUAAUACGGAGGAUCCAAGCGUUAUCCGGAAUCAUUGGGUUUAAAGGGUCCGUAGGCGGUCUUAUAAGUCAGUGGUGAAAGCCCAUCGCUCAACGAUGGAACUGCCAUUGAUACUGUAAGACUUGAAUGCUUAGGAAGUAACUAGAAUAUGUAGUGUAGCGGUGAAAUGCUUAGAUAUUACAUGGAAUACCAAUUGCGAAGGCAGGUUACUACUAAGUGAUUGACGCUGAUGGACGAAAGCGUGGGGAGCGAACAGGAUUAGAUACCCUGGUAGUCCACGCCGUAAACGAUGGAUACUAGCUGUUCGGCGCAAGUUGAGUGGCUAAGCGAAAGUGAUAAGUAUCCCACCUGGGGAGUACGCACGCAAGUGUGAAACUUAAAGGAAUUGACGGGGUCAUAGCUGUUUCCUG